GAGGCCCGAGCGUGUCACAUGGACAUGAUAUAAUGAAAAGGCAGGAACAGAGAGGCAGAGUGCGCUGAGCUCUGGGCAGAUGGAGAAGGGGCAGAAAUGUAGCUACGCAAUCAUCUGCCGACAGCCAGCAGCCAGCGGGGCCGAGCCGAGCCGAUCCUGGCCGAGCCGGACUCACUGCGCCUGAUCGGACGGGACCUCUCUAUUCGCAGUUGCACCUGCCAGCUAUGACACGCACUUUGAAAGAGGAGGAAAAAUCGCCUCGGUCCCGGAGCAGAAGCGGAGCGCCUUUCAGCGCUUCACUGGAAGUUAAUGUAUGCUGCAGAUGCCUAUGGGCUGCAAAUUAGCAAGCAGGACUCUGGAAUGACGCACCGCUGGCAAAAAGAACAAAGACAAGACCAGUGCAGAGAUGUGACUCCAGUCCGAAUAUACUGAACCAAACUGGUGAAGCACAUACCUGUAGUUGGAAUCAGCGCAGAAGCCGGACGGAUGGACGGAUGGAGCGGCAGGGAGGAUGACAUCACCAUUACCCGUGGGAGCCAAGGCCUGCCAUUCAUGCCAGCGGAUCAACGGCAGAAAGGAUGAGGCUGUGAGUACCCAAACGUGGUGUCGAAUAAAGUAAGUCCACAUCAUUAUAUGCUGAAUAUAUAUAACGACACUGUGCUUCCGUAUGUAAUGGACUACUCCCCCUUUGAAUCCUGAUAUGGGUGUUGCAGUUGUGUGCUGUCAGCUUUAUUUGUUGUGAUGUCUGUUCUGUUUCAAUUCCUCUCUGCUGCUGGAGGCGAGUUUUCACGUACCAACCGUCCAUGUCACUGCUGCGCUGCCAUGACAACCAUAUUCAUGUUUAAAACAGACGUCCUUUAAAUAAGAAGCUCAGUCGCGAUUCUCCCCCUCUGCCAGAACAGCUCAUCAACUGACAGAGUGACACAUGGACGUACUGCAGGGAGGGUGUCAGUAGGAAACAGUAUGACUGAACUAACUUCUGACUAUCAGUGAUGUGUGUUGUGUGUGUUGAAGCAUGGCUGAAUGGCAAAUUCAAUGUGUCCUUGUUGUGACUGAAUUACUGUCGUUAUUGACAAAGAAUAGGCCUUUUUAAGAGUUAAAAUUAAAGCUGCAGUAGGUCAUUUUAUGAAAAUAACUUUUUGUCAUUAUUGUUGAAACUGUCACUGUAUCCUGACAGUAGCACAUAAGACAGAUCAUCUGUGAAAAAAUCAGGUUCCUCUGGCUCCUCCUUGUAGUGCUAAUGGCAUUUGCAAGAAUCCACCAGGCCCCAAAUGAAAACAACCAAUCAGAGCCGAGAUGGAUGGAAAGACACUUUUGGUUGAUGCUUUAUUCAGACAAACAAUCAACUAUCUUGAGAGAAACAUGAUUUUUUUCCUGUCAGAAUAAUAAGAUUUCAGAAAAUAUGACAAAAAAAUAUUUUGCCCCUUUAAUUCUUGACCUUGAAAUAUAGGUUUUACAUGUUGGAUUAGCCUGCUGAUCUGGGGCAAAAAUGUUCUGUCGGUACCAAUUGUGCUCCCUGUUUUGCCCUGGAACCAACCGGUAUAUAUUUUCUGGAAUAUUAUCAGCCCAAAAGAUAUUACACAUUGCAUAAAAAUACCUUUGUAAGGCAGCUAGCGUGGUUGUACAGCAGUGCUUUGAAGUAAAUGCUAAUGCUAAUAUGUCAGCACCAUCAACAUAUAAAAGACAUCACAUCUCCACUUCCUCCCACUGUAAAAACAAGCCAGAUACAGGUACGGCUGCUCAGUCAGGACAAUCAGCAGGACUCAGCUGUCAAUCACCUGUUGAUAGCUACAAAAACUUAACUUAUCAUAAAAGUGAACAUACGUGGUAAAAACAACCUAAAAUUCCAGAAACCAUCUUUGGGAAAAAAAUGAUUUGAUUGUAUUUUGAUUUUGCUAACACCAAGGCAGUGGGCUUUAUGACCUUUACUGCAGUCAGCCACCAGGGGGCAAUCGAGAUAUUUUGGCUUCAUUUUUGGAGAGCUGUCAUGUCGUCCAUCUUUAUAUGUCGAUGGUCUGGACAAUUAUAUUGCUAGCAUGUUACCAUGUUAACCAUCUUAGUUUUGUAUGUUAGCAUACUAAUUAGUGCUAACCACAAAGUACCAUAAAGCUGAUGGGAAUGUCAUCACUUUUACAGCUUUUUGGUCAUCUAUACCAACUUUUGUGUCAAUCCAUCUCGCAGAUUGUAGAAGAGGACCCGUUCCCUCUGUAAAUAAAAACAUUUUAAGCUAACAAACACACAAUUCCAAUAUUCAGAUGAUUAUACUCAAACAACAUACCUAAGAUAUAUUAUAAUAUAUUAUAUUAUAUUUCUG